rnacentral:rRNA from 1 species
GUGAACGCUGGCGGUAGGCCUAACACAUGCAAGUCGAACGGCAGCACAGUAAGAGCUUGCUCUUACGGGUGGCGAGUGGCGGACGGGUGAGGAAUACAUCGGACUCUACUUUUUCGUGGGGGAUAACGUAGGGAAACUUACGCUAAUACCGCAUACGACCUACCGGUGAAAGCAGGGGAUCUUCGGACCUUGCGCGAUUGCAUGAGCCGAUGUCGGAUUAGCUAGUUGGCGGGGUAAAGGCCCACCAAGGCGACGAUCCGUAGCUGGUCUGAGAGGAUGAUCAGCCACACUGGAACUGAGACACGGUCCAGACUCCUACGGGAGGCAGCAGUGGGGAAUAUUGGACAAUGGGCGCAAGCCUGAUCCAGCCAUACCGCGUGGGUGAAGAAGGCCUUCGGGUUGUAAAGCCCUUUUGUUGGGAAAGAAAAGCAGCAGGUUAAUACCCCGCUGUUCUGACGGUACCCAAAGAAUAAGCACCGGCUAACUUCGUG